rnacentral:lncRNA from 1 species
AAAUGCAUAAAAUGACAAAUCCCACCAUUUAAGCCUCUCUGCCUUCGUUCUUAAGGAAGCAGAGAAGGCAGCUGCGUGGAUGAUCAGGGAAAGAAAGAAAGAAAGAAGAAGAAGAAGAAGAAGAAGAAGAAGAAGAAGAAGAAAAGAAGAAGAAGAAAAAAUUGGGCUUCUCAUUUAGGGUCAAAAAUUCUCAAAGGCAAGUAUUCUAACCCCAUCCUAUAGAAGUAUUAGUCUAUGUUCCUAUAUUGAUUCUGAAAUAUUUAUGCUUAGAACCUGAUAUUUCUCUCUUUGGACAAAAAACCAAGGAUCUGAAAUUUUUUUUGGUAAACUGACCCCUAUACACUGUUUCAGCUAUAAUUUAUAGCACCAAAGGUGGAUUCAGGCAGACCUAGUUUUUUUGAAAUUAGACUCAUAUAUCUUUCUUUUGACACUAAUUUUGUCGAUUUUGGACACCGAAUACUUACCCAAACAUCUGUUUCAAAUGAGC